GACGAACGCUGGCGGCGUGCUUAACACAUGCAAGUCGAACGGAAAGGCCCUGCUUUUGUGGGGUGCUCGAGUGGCGAACGGGUGAGUAACACGUGAGUAACCUGCCCUUGACUUUGGGAUAACUUCAGGAAACUGGGGCUAAUACCGGAUAGGAGCUCCUGCUGCAUGGUGGGGGUUGGAAAGUUUCGGCGGUUGGGGAUGGACUCGCGGCUUAUCAGCUUGUUGGUGGGGUAGUGGCUUACCAAGGCUUUGACGGGUAGCCGGCCUGAGAGGGGGACCGGGCUCAUGGGGCCUGAGGGAGGGCCCAGGAGCCAAGGGGCGGGAAGGGGGGGAAAUUUGACGGAGGGGGGGGGGGCGAGAGGCGGCGGCCCCGGGUGCGGGAGGCGGGGCUACGGGGGAAACCCAUUUGUGGCUGGUACGGAGGAGAGCGUGACGGUAAUGAAUAAGAAAGCCCCGGCUAACUACGUG
rnacentral:rRNA from 1 species